rnacentral:rRNA from 1 species
UACGUAGGGUGCGAGCGUUUGUCCGGAAUUAUUGGGCGUAAAGAGCUUGUAGGCGGUUUGUCGCGUCUGCCGUGAAAAUUCGAGGCUCAACCUCGAACUUGCGGUGGGUACGGGCAGACUAGAGUGUGGUAGGGGAGACUGGAAUUCCUGGUGUAGCGGUGAAAUGCGCAGAUAUCUGGAGGAACACCGGUGGCGAAGGCGGCAUCCUGGACCGGUAGUUGACGCUGAGGCGCGAAAGCCAGGGGAGCAAACGGG